GACUAGGAAAAAACAAACAUCAUUUGUCAUCGAGUUUCUAAUUAAAUCAUGGCUGCAACUGGGCAUCGUUAUUAUAAUAGUGAAGGUGAACGUGCUGCUACUUCCCUCAUUCCCAACAUGAAUCAAGUACCUGCAUUGAGUAAUGCAAGAGUGAGAUGAUACAUCUCAGCAAGCAAAUUGUUUUGACGAGAUAUUUAAAGCACAAAUUGAAUUAAACAACAUUUUAAAGGAAUCACAAUUGAGAUCAGAAAUACUUGUAGAUAUAGAACUCAAUAGUCCCAAUAUAACCAAUACAAUCUCAUUUCCUCGAACAACCACAAUAGGUUGUAUAACCCUUCCCUGCGUCAACAAUACCUGCAGAUAUCAUUUCAAUGUAUGCAUAGGAAUGCAAUGUGUAGGUCAUCUGCCCUCAUACCUCUGAGAGUAUAAAACCACAUCAUCUGCUAAUAUCACUUCAAUGAAUGCAUAUAAAUGCAAUGCAUAUGUCCUCUGCCUUCAUAGCUCUAAGGGUAUGAAGCCGCAUCGUACCCCUCCUCGGGCAACGUACGAUGCUAAGUUGUACCGGUACGGUCGGACCAUAGGUCACGACCAAACUUCAGAUGCAAAUGAAUCAUGUAAUGCAUAUGACAUGCUGCAUUUAUCAAUACACUUCACUUCCUUCAGAUACAAAACAAACCUUAAAUAAUACUUCAUCUGCCUUCAGAUACGAUACAAACCUCAAAUAAUACUUUAUCUGCCUUCACGGGUGUAAAUUAAUCUCAUGGGUCAUACUCGAACCAUAAUCAUCAUCAAUAUAUGAUUGAGCAUCAGUAUAAUACAAUCAAGUAAAGCAUCACCAUAGAGUUCAAUUAUGAAAGAAUUCCAUAAUUCUGAAUAUUAGAGUGUAGGCGAUAAAAAAACAACAAGUCAAAACGGUAGAAACCACUGCUACAUUCACUUGCCUUCAUCAAGGAAGAAAGAUGUACUAGGCAUGAUCCGGAGUGUAGCCACCUGCUAGCGGGCAUAAAACUUAGUACAAAUAUUUCACAAACAUUUGCCAACAAUCAACAAAUCGCUCCUACACUUGAAACCAAGACCCGGUGGAAAGACUCCCACCCUGAACCACAUGCCAAACAGCAGCAGCACUGUUUGUUAAUUUUGUAUCUUUAAAAUUAUAACAGUGAUUGUUGGGUCUAUGCUUCGUCGCCGAAGGUCUUAUAGAAAGAAGUGAUCCUCGGAUGAAGCUGUUCGCACAAGAUAGCCGAAGGUGCCUUUUCGCAGAGCUUCGGCAUUACAAACCGACUUAAAGAUAGAAUGACCUUUUAGUCCAUAAAGGUCUGAGUCAACGUUGUAAGUUCUUAUAAGGGGCAUACUUGUAAUUCCUCACAGGCUGCGUCCUGUGCCUAUAAAUAGUGAACAGUAUUACGUUACUGUUCACGCAUUUUCUGACAUUUGCAAUCGCAUUUCUCGGAAUACAACCUUUGUCAAGGCAUAGGUAUCAUUGUAUUUUAUGAUUCAAUAUAUUAAGUGAAUAUUAUAUAAUGCAUCUGUGAAUCAUUUAUUCAUUCUUACCUUUUAUUUUGCAUUAUUCUACAACGUUUAUUGAAAGUUUAUUACGAAGGUUCAACUUCGUAAUAAGACGCUUAUCAACCUUCGUCUAAGAUCCAUUAUCCUCAAAGGAAUAAUGCUUCGCGGACGAAGGACAGUAUCAUUUAACAUUCUAUGUUGCCUUGUUCUUAAUUCAUAGCAUUUGAGAACAAGUCCCCAACAUUGGCGCCCACCUCCGGUGAACUCACUUCCACUUUUCUGAGCUGAUGGCUUCGUUCAACAAUCAAGCUGGAGUUGCUUCGGACCCGAAGCUGGUGCUCCCGAUCACAGGUGGCUCGUCCUCAGAGCCAGCUAACAAGAAGCAGAAGAAGGAAGCGCAGAGAAGAGUACAGCAUGUUGGGGUGCAAGGACCCUUCAUCAAAUCAAGAUGGUCUCACAUUCCUAUUACCUUCUCUCAAGAGGACCUUCAGCUCAAUGAUUACCCACACAACGAUGCCAUGGUUAUCUCUUGUGUUAUCAAAGGAUUUCUGGUUCACAAUGUCUUGGUCGAUACAGGCAGUGCAGCUGACAUCAUAUUUGCUAAAGCCUUCAGACAAAUGCAAGAGCCAGAAGAUAAGAUUCAUGAUGCUACACAUCCUCUUUGUGGCUUCGGAGGAAGACAGAUUGUAGCACUGGGCAAGAUCACCAUGUCAGUAACCUUCGGAUUCAUCAACAACACUAGAACUGAGCAAGUUGUGUUUGACAUUGUUGACAUGGAAUAUCCUUACAAUGCAAUUAUUGGUCGUGGUACUCUUAAUGCCUUCGAAGCAAUCCUUCAUCCUGCCUAUCUUUGCAUGAAGAUACCUUCGGACCAAGGGCCUAUUGCUAUCCAUGGAAGCCAGGAAGCUGCUAGAAGGGCCGAAGGAAGCUGGACCGACUCCAAGGCAAUCCAUAAUAUAGAUGGAACUGAAGCUUGUGAACAGUACAAAUUCAGAAGGGAGAAGGCAGCUUCAGCAGAUCAGCCGAAGCCCAUGCUAUUGUGUGAGGACAUAGCAGAGCAGAAGGUGCUGUUGGGCUCGCAAUUAUCUGAAGACCAGGAGAAAACCUUGAUAAGGUUUUUAUUCAACAACAAAGAUGUUUUUGCAUGGUCGGCUAAUGAUCUCUGUGGAGUAAAUCGGGAUGUUAUUGAACAUUCGCUCAAUGUUGACCCAUCCUUCAGACCCCGAAAGCAGAGGCUUCGGAAAAUGUCUGAUGACAAGGCCGAAGGGGCUCGCAAUGAAGUAAAAAGACUCCUCAGUGCAGGAGUUAUCAGAGAAGUGAAGUAUCCAGAGUGGCUAGCUAACACUGUUAUGGUGAAGAAGGCCAAUGGCAAGUGGAGAAUGUGUAUCGAUUUCACAGAUCUCAACAAGGCUUGUCCGAAGGACGAAUUCCCGUUGCCAAGGAUAGACUCUCUAGUCGAUGCAGCAGCUUCUUCAGAGCUCAUGAGUCUCUUGGACUGUUACUCGGGAUAUCAUCAAAUCUGGAUGAAAAAGGAAGAUGAGCCGAAAACUAGCUUCAUAACUCCAAGUGGCACGUAUUGCUAUCUUCGGAUGCCUGAGGGGCUCAAAAACGCUGGAGGAAGUUUCAGCAGAAUGACUGCGAAGGUUCUUCAGUCUCAAGUAGGCAGAAAUGUGUUGACCUAUGUUGAUGACAUUAUCGUCAAAAGCACGAAGCAGGAAAAUCAUAUUGUUGAUCUGCAGGAGACCUUCGCCAGCUUCAGACAAGCUGGUUUGAAGCUGAAUCCAGAGAAAUGUGUCUUCGGAGUAAAGAAGGGUAAAUUUCUUGGAUGCUUGGUUUCAACAAAGGGAAUCGAAGCUAAUCCAAAUAAAAUCGAAGCUAUACUUCGAAUGGAGCCACCAACUACAAGAAAAGGGGCCCAAAGAUUGACAGGAAGGCUGGCAUCUCUCAACAGAUUUAUAUCCAGAUCAGCAGAAAGAAACUUACCAUUUUUCGAGGUGCUGAAGUCAGCCGAAGUCUUUCAAUGGGGCCCAAGUCAACAAAAAGCCUUCGAAGAGUUGAAGCAAUACUUGAUAGAUCUCACAACAUUAACUCCGCCAACGCCAGGGGCUCCUCUGUUGUUAUAUGUGGCAGCUUCGCACUCAGCAGUAAGUGCGGCACUUGUCCAGGAGAAGCUUUAUGGCCAGCUCAAGAAGCAAGUUCCAGUGUAUUUUGUAUCUGAGGUCCUUAGUGUCUCAAAGAAAAAUUAUACAGAGCUGGAGAAGGUAUUAUAUGCCGUUUUAAUGGCAUCCAGGAAGCUUCGGCAUUAUUUUCAGGCAUACAAUAUCAUUGUUCCUUCUUCGCAGCCGUUGAAGGAUAUAAUGAGAAAUAGAGAAGCUACUGGAUGGAUUGGGAAAUGGGCUGCAGAGCUCAACGAAUUUUACAUUGAUUAUGUGCAUAGAUCUUCGAUCCAGUCUCAAGCAUUGGCAGAUUUCAUUGCCGACUGGACGCCAGGGGCUCAGGAUGAAGAAGCAAAUAAAGAUGCCGAAGUGUGGACAGUGUUUUGUGAUGGCUCUUGGGGAAUCUUCGGAGCAGGUGCAGCUGCUGUGUUGGUUUCACCAUCCAAGGUCAAAACUUGUUAUGCAGCAAGACUUGAUUUCAGCUGCACGAACAAUAUUGCUGAGUACGAAGCCCUGCUUCUGGGCCUUCGGAAAUUAAAGGCAAUGGGAAUCAGAAGGGCAAUUCUUAAAACUGAUUCCCAGGUGGUUUCGGGUCAUGUUGACAAAAGUUGCAAGGCUAAAGAUCCGAAGCUUGAAAAAUAUCUAGAUACGGUCCGAAGGAUCGAAGCAUCCUUCGAAGGAUUCUCUGUCAAGAAUAUUCCUCGAGGACAAAAUGAGCAUGCUGAUUUGCUAGCUAAGUCUGCGGCACAGGGGCUGCUGUUACCUUCGGAUGUGUUCUUCGAAACAAUAAAGGCACCUUCAGUGGAGCUCCUUGAAAGAGCAGUCCUCAACAUAUCUCCUGUUUACAGCGAAGAUUGGAGAACUGAAAUAAUCUCUUACCUUCAGGGUAAGUUCCUUUCAGAUGACGAAGCUUACAAUAAAAGAAUAGAGGCAAGAGCUCGUCCGUAUGUCAUGAUAGAAGGGGAAUUAUACAAACAUGGAGUUUGCGCUCCGCUGCUCAAGUGCUUAUCUAGAGCCGAAGGUAUAGAGUUGAUGAAAGAGAUACAUGCAGGCCUGUGUGGAUCCCACAUCGGAUCCAGGCCAUUACUUGGAAAAGUGUUCCGCCAAGGUUUUUAUUGGCCGAAGGCAGCUUCGGAUGCAGCGGAGUUAGUCCAAAAGUGCGAAGGUUGUCAAAAAUGUGCAAGAGAUCAAAAGCAACCUUCGUCUUUGACACAGCUGAUACAACCCAUCUGGCCAUUGCAAAGAUGGGGCCUUGACUUGUUGGGUCCAUUACCACCGGCCCAAGGGAAUCUAAAAUAUGUUGUAGUAGCUGUGGAGUAUUUUUCCAAAUGGAUUGAGGCGAAGUCAUUAGCUACAAUAACUUCGGCCACUGUCCAAAAGUUUUUCUGGCAGAACAUUGUCUGUCGCUUCGGAGUACCGAAGGCCAUCACUGUAGACAAUGGAACGCAGUUCGACUCCGAAGCUUUCAGAAACUUUUGUGAUCAAAUUGGAACGAAGAUCCAUUUUGCAUCAGUCAGGCAUCCGGAGUCGAAUGGGCUUGUUGAAAGGGCCAACGGCAUUAUAAUGACAGGAAUAAUGAAGUUAAUCUUCAAUCAACCCAGGGGAAAGUGGCCAGACCAGUUAACCAAAGUGGUGUGGAGCCACAAUACAACAGCAUCAAGGUCUACAGGCUUUACCCCAUUUAAGUUAUUAUUCGGAGACGAAGCAAUAACCCCGGAAGAAGCCAAAGCUGGAUCAAUAAGAGUAGUAGCUUCGGCAGAAUCAGGUCCCGAAGAUGCUUGCCUUGUGGAAAAGGAUGCUUUAGAAGGGAUCAGGCUUCAGGCCGUGGAGAAUAUCAAUAAAUAUCAGGCUGAAACAGUUAAAUGGCGAGAUAGAAAAGUCCGGCUAAAAAAUAUUGAGCCGGGACACUUGGUGCUUCGGAGAGUGGCUAACCCAGAUACAGUGGGUAAGCUACAGUUGAAAUGGGAAGGACCAUUCUUAGUAGUAUCUUCGUCAAGGCCUGGAUCGUACAGAUUGAAGGACAUGGAUGGCAACGAAAUUCCAAGGUCUUGGAAUGCGGAUGAGCUUCGGCGAUACUAUGUAUAACAUGAUGUAAUUUUUUAUGUUUUUUCUUUUCUUUUUCAUGGCACCCUUUUCCUUUCCGAAGGGGGAGAAAGGUUUUUAAUGGGGCCAUCAUGUGUAAUUUCCUUUUUUAGUCUUAUAAGAGCAAAAUCCCCCAAAAAAUGUAAAUGUAACAGCUGAGAACGCACCAUCGAGUGCAGAAACUGAAAAAGAAAAAAGAGAAGAAGCUCCAAAGACGUCCCUAAGGGGAUGCAGAGCUCUCAGCGAAAAGUCAACGCUGGUACCGUCUAAGUAAAAGACGAAGAAGCUCCAAAGACGUUCCUAAGGGAAUGCAGAGCUUAUACCGCCUAAGGAAAAGGCGAAGAAACUCCAAAGACGUUCCUAAGGGAAUGCAGAGUUUAUACCGUCUAAGUAAAAGACGAGGAAGCUCCAAAGUCGUUCCUAAGGGAAUGCAGAGCUGAUGUGUGGUUGAUUCCAAGGAAAUAAUGGUUGAGUGUGGCUUCGGUUAUAUGUUUUGGACAUUCAUUCGCACAACACAUUACAUCAUAGCAUUUGCAUUCAUAAGCAUUCAUUCAUGGGAUCUGUGUUACUAAGUGGUUGCUUCGGCAAAAAGGAGAAGUAUUCUUUUAUGUUUUGGAGUGUACAAAAAAGCAAAGCUUCCGCAGAAAGAAGAAGCAGUCUUUAAUGCUUCGUUGUGUACGAAAAGAAGGGAAGGUGUUUUUUUUCGCCUUCGGCUCAAAAUAUUGAUUUCGUCCACAUCAAAGCGUCUUAAUAAAAGGGUAAGGAUAUAUUACAAGGUAUGUACAAAGUUCCUUGAGAACGGUUUAAUUGUAUUUACAACAAGUUGUUACAAAUUUUCCUCAGUAUUUUCUAGCCUACUACUACUAAUCUUCUUCAGGCUUCCGCUUCGGCGGCAUAUUCUUUAAUCACCUUCAGCUUCGUCAUCCUACAUGAAUCCAGGUAUCCAGAGUAAAAAUCAAGUAUGAAGGAGAAGGUAAGUACAAAGUAGGAUUUCUUACUGGUUCAAGAUGACUUCGAGCUUCGUCUCCAGCCUUCUCCCGCCCGCCUUUUGUCCAUAUCAUUUUUAUAAAUCUAUUUGAGAUACUUCGGGCGAGGUCAGGUAUAUCGUCCAGGAUUGAUGGAGACAGGGUGAAGUUGGGCCUGUUGACAAUCUUUCCAUGCUCGCAGCCAGCCUUCAGGAAUGCUGCAGCAGUACCCCGAGAAGCUACCCAGGCACAGAAGUCACCGUGCCCAGCUAUAACUUCGUCAAGUUCUUCAAUUUCAGCUUCGAUAUGAUCGAAGGCUUUUGGUAAAUCUUCAUCCGAAGGGGUAAAUUUCCCGCUGCUGGCUCCAACUGAGUAAAAGAUCUUCUUUAGUUGUUGGAUACAAUUGUUGCUAAAAUUCAAACAUUUAUCCUGAAGGCUUGUUAAUGAUUUCUUCAAAUUUGAGUUGGCUUGGACUUCGGCUUCAAGUUUAGAAUUAAGCUCUAGCUUUUCUUGUUCAAACUGUUUUGAUUGACCGAUAAGCUUCGAAUUCAAUUCUAAUAUUUUAGCUUCGGUCUCUGCCAGCAAGCCUUCGGUUGAUUGAAGUUCGAAGUCUUUCUUUUCGAUGAUGGCUGAUUGUUCUUUUAUUUUGCUCUCUAAAUUUCCAAUUAUAGCUUCGUGUUUUUUGUCCUCCAAAUCCUGCUGCAUCUUCAGAGCUUUGCUCAGUAGCAUGCUCUGCACAAAAACAGUUUUCGUUAGUAACAUUUUCAUUAUCCAAAGCAAUAAGGAACAGAGAAAAGAUUGUUUACCUUGAAAUUGGAAUAAAAUAAGCUGCCGACGAUAUGCUGUCGUCGGUAGCGGCUGAUAUCUGUCUCUAGCUUCGGAAAACCGAUACUCUUUGACAGAGUACCGAUGACCUUAGCUCCGGUUUGGUCUCGAAUGCAGCCUAAUUUUUCAUCGUCCACACCUCCGAAUAGAAGAGCUCCUGGCCUGUAUCCGCAAGAUUUGGCAUAGUCUUUUAGCUCUUCUAUUUCGUCCUCCGAAAGUUUUUGCCCAAUUAAAUUUUGAAAUGUGUAGGCUUCGUCGUCCGAAGCGACUUCGGCUAUUUCUUUCCCCUUCUCAGGCACUGCGGCCAUGACUUUUUUAGCAGCAGCGGCAGCUUCUUCUGCAGCCAUGUCUUCUAAAAUUUUGUCGAUAUUCUCAAUGGUAGUCUCUAAGUUCACAUUUUCGGCUGUAGCGGCUUCGGUAGCCGCGACCUCCGAAGGUGCGACUUCGACGUUUGUUGUGUCUUCAGUAGCUGCUGUUUUCUGAAUUGAUGCUCUCGGUGGCGUCUUGUCAAUAACUUCUGUUACGGCAAUAAUUCUUUGCCUUUUUGCUUUGGUUAUCUUCGUUUUUUCCGGCUCCGCCACCUUUUGAAAAAGCUUCGUCAGUCGAGGCCCUAAUGGACUUAGCUUCGUGGGCAUGGGUUCAGUCAUUACCUUUAGAAUUUCCUCCACGUCGCUAGUAGAAGGUGGUGUGGGGGUCCCCUCUUCUUCGGAUAGUUUUCGCUUUGGAGUUGAUAUUCUUCUCUUGACAAUUUUCUUCUUUUUUGGUGGUUGUUCUUCAUCCUUGUUUAAAGCUUCGGCCGCUCUUUUUCUUCUCUGGCCCUCAGCACCCUUGUUCAGCUGCGCAUAGUCAGGAUAUUCGAAACCCAGUGCAUCAAGCACUCGGUUCAGCCUUCGCUUCGGACGGGUGCCGAAGGCUGCUGUCAUCAGUUGAUCUUCUUUUUUCGAAUAAUUUCCAAGAAUUUCAUUACACAUCACCUCAACUGUAUCCAGCCACUCUUGGCAGGGCUUCUUAAAAUAUUUCUUGAAUUUGAAGUGGUAAGGAAGCCGGACAAGAUCCCCUUCCUUCUUCUCCCCCUUUAACUUUGGCAUUUCCCAUUUUUUCAGAGUAGGGAAGACUUUGAAUGCUAAGAAUUCUUGAACCAGAUCCCUGGUACCAAUAUGCUCUGCAAUGAUUCUGAAUUCAUCCAUUGCCCGUUGAGUUUGACCCUCUGGUGUCAUGUUGCAGUGGGGUCGGGUUUCUCCGAAAGUUAGCUCGAGUGGACUUUGCACAAGCUUCUCCUUGUCCUCAUCAACCUUGACAUAGAACCAUUCUGAUUUCCAGCCUGCCGGCCAUUUGCUUCGGUAGCUGAUUACAGGAAACUUUGCGGUUUUCCGGUAGGCAAAAUUGUAGCAACCGAAGUUUUCAUGAAGCCCAUCUUUUCUGGCCUUUGUUUGAUAAUGCAAUUCAUGAACUCGACAGAAACUGUCAGCAAAAGGCUCCACUGCUUGGCUUCGGAGGGCCCAAAUAUAAACGCUAAGCCUAACGAUAGCGUUAGGAGUUAACUGGUGAAGGUAGAUGCCAAACCUCUUCAAUAUCUCCGCAACAAUCUCGUGAACAGGGAAUCUUAGCCCAGCCUUUAAAAAACUUUUGAAGAUGACAACCUCAUCCUUCUCUGGCUUCGGGGUGGUCUCUUCUCCCCCGAAGCGAAGUAGCUUCUUCUGAUCUUCACUGAAAAAACCUGCUUUCACCAUCUUGGCGAGAUCAACCUUUGAAACAGUCGAUUUUCCGAAGUCUAGGUGGCUGGGUUUGCUGGGCAUGGCAAUACGGUAGUCAUCUUCGGAGUCGGUUUCUUCAAUGUUCCCUUCUCCUUCGGCAGCUGUCGGGUUUGCUUCGGCAGCAGGCAUUUCUUCCGCAGUCACCAGUCCGGAGCGCUGCAUCGCUUCGGAGAUGGGCACAGUCUCCGAAGCUUCAGUUUCGUCCCCCUCACGCUCAACCCUAGCUGUAGAGCGAACUCUGGCCAUUUAAUUAUGAACUUGUGAAACUUUGAUACUUUUUUCUCCGAAGCAGGCUUCAAGAUGGAGCUUCGUUCAAAUCUGACAAACAAGCUUCGGCGAUGGUUAAAAAUUUUGGCAGCAAAACAGUGCAAAUAGCAGUAAAUGCUGUGGUAACUUCACACCUACUCGUCUGUUUAUAUAGUGCCGCAGGUAAGAAGGUGAAGUGCCAGGAGUUUUACACCAGGCGGACACCCGCUCGCACUCGCUGUACGGUGGACCGCAAUGACCGAACAGUAACUCUGCAAGGUGGGGCCGCUGCGCGCAGGGAAAUCCAAUCGUUUCUCGACAACGAGCUCAGGGAAGGUGUUUUUUGAGACCUUCGGCGCUCUGAAGCUUAAGAAACUUUUUUCACGGAUCAAGCUCGUUACGAAAAACGAUCUAGCACCGCGAAAGGGGCUACUGUUGGGUCUAUGCUUCGUCGCCGAAGGUCUUAUAGAAAGAAGUGAUCCUCGGAUGAAGCUGUUCGCACAAGAUAGCCGAAGGUGCCUUUUCGCAGAGCUUCGGCAUUACAAACCGACUUAAAGAUAGAAUGACCUUUUAGUCCAUAAAGGUCUGAGUCAACGUUGUAAGUUCUUAUAAGGGGCAUACUUGUAAUUACUCACAGGCUGCGUCCUGUGCCUAUAAAUAGUGAACAGUAUUACGUUACUGUUCACGCAUUUUCUGACAUUUGCAAUCGCAUUUCUCGGAAUACAACCUUUGUCAAGGCAUAGGUAUCAUUGUAUUUUAUGAUUCAAUAUAUUAAGUGAAUAUUAUAUAAUGCAUCUGUGAAUCAUUUAUUCAUUCUUACCUUUUAUUUUGCAUUAUUCUACAACGUUUAUUGAAAGUUUAUUACGAAGGUUCAACUUCGUAAUAAGACGCUUAUCAACCUUCGUCUAAGAUCCAUUAUCCUCAAAGGAAUAAUGCUUCGCGGACGAAGGACAGUAUCAUUUAACAUUCUAUGUUGCCUUGUUCUUAAUUCAUAGCAUUUGAGAACAAGUCCCCAACAGUGAUGAUAUUAAAGAAAUACUCUAGGAGUGUAUACACAAAAUACUCUACAACUUCAGUAUUCAAUGGAUAAUUAAAUUCUGCCAUCUAUAAGUUCUAAAACAUCUGAUAAGAUAAAUGUCUGAAUCUGUUUCAGACAGCAGCAUAGUUAACUUCAAAAUUCAAUAUCUACCAAACUACUCAACCAAAAAUUAUGAAAUUCUGCUGGCAGUAAGAACUUUUAUCCCUCUACAAAUGUCUCCAUAGUUGGAACAGCCAAUUCGUCUAUUUACUAUAUGAAACCCACCAGUGAACAGACCCGCUCAUUUUUGUCAGGCAAACAGGAACAGCCACAGUAAAACAAACAUAACUGGAGUUUCAUAAUUCAUAUGAAUGCGCUCUUUAAUAAUCUGGAAAUCUAAUAAAAUUGUCUACAACUUCUUUUACAAUCCUAAAGUUUAAUUCUGUAGAUAAAAUUGCCUAAAUCUUAAGAGAACAGAUUCUGCACAGAAUUAUGAGACUGAAAAACUGCUAUAAUCAAACAGCAAUAACUUUCUGAUCUGAUGUCCGAUUGAGGUGUUCUUCGUGGCCACAGAAAGAUAUACAAAUUAUCUACGACUCAUAGACAGACGUUUUAUUUUUUUGAGGCCACUAAGAUCACGGAAAACUGGCAUGAACAGAAACUGUUGAAUCUGCCAUCCUGCAGAAACUAAUUUCGAGAUCAAAAUCUAAUCUCCCAUCUAAUCCAACCAAAAAAACUAAUUGCAGGGCCUAAAACUCAUCCAAAACAAGAGAAAGCAUUCAUCAAGUGGAGAAAAGAGAGAGAGGAAAGGAAAUCCAACCAAUUCUUGGAGAGGAACGACGAUGAUGAGCGACGGUAUGCCCUCAUCUCCCCUCUCUUCUCUUCUUUUUUUCUUCCUCUCAUCUCUUGGGGCAAGGCACAAAAGGGUGAC
rnacentral:lncRNA from 1 species